CAGGAGUGAAUCACUUAUGUGGCAUACUGAAGGAUUCACACUGUAAACUGGAGAGAUUGAGUCUUCAUAACUGUGGCAUUACAGAUGUUUCUUCUUUAACUCAGUCUUUGACAAACACAAAAGCUCUGCAGUUUCUAAAAGAGCUUGAUCUGAGAGAUAAUAAGAUUGGAGACUCAAAGCAGAAGCUCACUGAUGUGCUACGAGACUCAAACUGUGAACUGAGUGUAGAUAGAUAGAUGUCCAUCACCAAAAGCUGAUGAAUGCUGUAUAUCAUAAAGUGAAGUGUUCUUGAGAGGAGCAGUAAACAUCAGCUGAAGAUCCACAGAAGAGCUUCACUACUGUGUCUAUGAGGAGAAAUAAAUGUGUGAUAAAUGUGUAAAUGUGAUCCAUACAGGUGAAGAGACUCAGACUUUACAAU